CCUCCUGGUGGCUUACAGAGUAUUAAAACAUAGGUUUAGAAAAUAAAAACGUGCAUAAUGAAAUGACCAAAAGGCCCUUGAGAAAUCAUAAGUUCGAGCAGAAAUCAGGCGCGCAGCGAUCUUCCUUGUCGCUCUGGUAAGGUCGCUCCAUGCUUCGGGAGCGACCUCGCUGUGUCACUGCGAGAGGUCGCUCCGGACUCGUUCUCGCGUCUCCGGGUGAUGAAAACGCGAGCGACUCUUCCCUGUCGCUCUGGUAAGGUCGCUCUGAUAGGGAGAUCAGAGCGACUUGAUGGUGUCGCUCCCGUGCGCUGCUCGCCCAAUGAUCACUUAAAACACUUUUUUUGAACUCCAAAUGCACCCAAAUGUCUCCAAGAACUCCAUGUGGUACUCCAAUACCUGAUAAGGACUCAUGUAUGCAAAACGCAACCUAAACAUGGCUAAAUCCUAAUCUAUAUGAUCAAAAUGCACAUGGGUGAAUGGAUAAAACAAUAGAAAUAUGCAAGAUAUCAUAGGUGGAUGGAGUUUGUGGCAUACUAAGAUAUAAGGAUUCG
rnacentral:lncRNA from 1 species